rnacentral:rRNA from 1 species
AGUGAACGCUGGCGGUAGGCCUAACACAUGCAAGUCGAACGGCGGCACAGUAAGAGCUUGCUCUUACGGGUGGCGAGUGGCGGACGGGUGAGGAAUACAUCGGAAUCUACUUUUUCGUGGGGGAUAACGUAGGGAAACUUACGCUAAUACCGCAUACGACCUACGGGUGAAAGCAGGGGAUCUUCGGACCUUGCGCGAUUGAAUGAGCCGAUGUCGGAUUAGCUAGUUGGCGGGGUAAAGGCCCACCAAGGCGACGAUCCGUAGCUGGUCUGAGAGGAAGAUCAGCCACACUGGAACUGAGACACGGUCCAGACUCCUACGGGAGGCAGCAGUGGGGAAUAUUGGACAAUGGGCGCAAGCCUGAUCCAGCCAUACCGCGUGGGUGAAGAAGGCCUUCGGGUUGUAAAGCCCUUUUGUUGGGAAAGAAAAGCAGCAGGUUAAUACCCCGCUGUUCUGACGGUACCCAAAGAAUAAGCACCGGCUAACUUCGUG